UGGGGGAUAUUGCACAAUGGGCGAAAGCCUGAUGCAGCGACGCCGCGUGGGGGAUGAAGGCCUUCGGGUUGUAAACUUCUUUUGCUCUGAACAAGGCGCACCAUGGGGUGUGUUGUGUGUAGGGGUUGAUUAGCGCCGGCUAACUACGUGCCAGCAGCCGCGGUAAUACGUAGGGCGCGAGCGUUGUCCGGAAUUAUUGGGCGUAAAGGGCUUGUAGGUGGCUGGUUGCGUCUGUCGUGAAAGCUCAUGGCUUAACUGUGGGUUUGCGGUGGGUACGGGCUGGCUUGAGUGCAGUAGGGGAGGCUGGAAUUCCUGGUGUAGCGGUGGAAUGCGCAGAUAUCAGGAGGAAUACCGGUGGCGAAGGCGGGUCUCUGGGCUGUUACUGACACUGAGGAGCGAAAGCAUGGGGAGCGAACAGG
rnacentral:rRNA from 1 species